rnacentral:lncRNA from 1 species
GUUUUAUUAGACUGUGCAAAGAUUGCUUAGAGUGUCCAAAUACAGGCAUAAAUAAGUUGAUGAAUUGUAAUAUUCUAUUACUCUCUACUGAAAUUGAUAGAGCAUUCUUAUUCAUAAACAAACUGAAUUAGAAAGGUUAAUUAUCAUUGUAACUAAAAUUGAUAGAGCAAAUCAUAAAGUUUUUGACAGAAACUAUCAACACAUGAAGAUUCUAAAUUGCUACUCAAUAAAAAGUUUCUCAUUUUGGCAUGAUUUGCUCUUACUGCUUUUCCAACCUCGUUCUCAUCAUCCAUCACAAUCUUCACAGCUUUGCACACACUUUCUUUUGUAAACAACCCAUCUUCUUCACCUUUCUCAACUUCCACACCAACCUUUAACUUACUACUCAUCAUUCUUGCAUUCAUGAUAUGAUCAGUACCUGCACGUGGCAACAGCACCAACUGACACGUGUUAACAAGUCCCUCAGUAAUAGAAGCAGCUCCACAGUGUGUUAUGAAACAUCCUACAGAAGGGUGUUCUAGAAUCAACUGUUGUUGAAUCCAAUUUCCAUAAACAAUCCCUUUUCCAUUAACCCUUUCAUUGAACCCUUCAGGUAAAGCUUCUUCAAUUGAAUCAAAUCCAAUAGGUGGCUUAAGUGCUGCAAGAAAUGGAAAACCUGUUAAUUCAAGACCAAGUAACAACUCUUGAAAUUGAUUAUGUUGUAGUGGGCCUUCACUUCCAUACGCACAAAAAACCACAGAACCAUGUUUGAAUCCCUCAAGCCAUGUUAACCAUUUUUCCUCUAAAGUAGAUUUUGGUGCCUCGGGUAAUAAAGGACCUGAAAGCAGAACAGGUUUUCCAAAAACAGUUUCAAGAUAAUCAGCAUAUAGUCCAUCAAUUUCUCUGCAGCCUUUGAAAGAAACUGCAUCUGAAAACUUUGUACCGGUGUCAACGCGAUCAUACAAUAAAACACCACUGCCAAAUUCUUGUUUCCUUGUUGAAGCUAGGAAGCGAAGUUCAUGUGAAUGAAAUUUGAUCGAUGAAUCAGGGAACCCUGUAGGUGGUUUUUUUAGAUCAUCUUCGGUUAAAUAUGUUCCUUGACUCUUUCUUGGUAUACUUCCAAGGUAAGCUGGUGAUAUUGGACUCCAUAUCAAGUAUUGAAGACUUUUGAUACCAAGUUUUUGAGUCAAGUUAGGUAGCCAAUAUUGAAAAUCAAAGAAAACUAUUUGUGGCUUUAACUCCUUCAAAAGAAGUUCAAUUUGUUUAUCUGUUUGAUCCAUGGCUGUAGCAAUAAGAGGGAAUAAAGAAAAUGGCACAUCUGAAGUUGUUUCAGCAUUAUGAGGAAGGCCAUUAACAUGAGGAACUGUGAUAGGGAAAAACGUAAUAAGAUUUGGAUGAAGAUUGAGAUGUUGUAACUUGUUGAGUGUGUUUUUAGGGAUGAAGAACGAUAUUUUGUGACCUCUUAUUGCUAAUUUGUUGGAGAAGUGAAGAUAUGGAGUUAAGUGUCCCAUAGCAAACCAUGGAAACAUUGCUAUGUGCAAAGGAGAAGGAGCAUCCAUUACUGCUAUUGAAUGUAAUGAAAUAAACUAUGCCACAAAUAUCAUAUACUUAUACAUAUAAUACAUAUAUAGAUAUAUAAGUGAGAGUUAAUUACGUUCUUUCAUUUUUAAGAUUUGGUGUAUCAUG